GACGAACGCUGGCGGCGUGCUUAAUACAUGCAAGUCAUAGGGGCUAAUUUCCUUCGGGAGAUUGGUCACUGGCGCACGGGUGCGUAACGCGUAAGUUAUCUGCCCUUGGGUCUGGCAUAACGUCGGGAAACCGGCGCUAAUUCCAGAUGAUAUCGUAAGAUCAAAGCCUUCGGGCGCCCAAGGAUGAGCUUGCGUCUGAUUAGCUUGUUGGCGGGGUAAUGGCCCACCAAGGCAACGAUCAGUAGCCGGUCUGAGAGGAUGAUCGGCCACAUUGGGACUGAGACACGGCCCAGACUCCUACGGGAGGCAGCAGUAAGGAAUAUUGCGCAAUGGACGAAAGUCUGACGCAGCAACGCCGCGUGCAGGAUGAAGGCCCUUUGGGUUGUAAACUGCUGUAGAAAGGGAAUAAUAGUUUGCCACGGGUGAACUUGAAGGUACCUUUAAAGUAAGCGCCGGCUAACUACGUGCCAGCAGCCGCGGUAAAGCGUAUGU
rnacentral:rRNA from 1 species